GGCACGGUGGCACAAUGGUUAGUGGUUACUGCCUCACAGCAAGGAGGUCGUGGGUUCGAAUCCGGCCUGGGGCC